rnacentral:rRNA from 1 species
AGUGAACGCUGGCGGUAGGCCUAACACAUGCAAGUCGAACGGCAGCACAGUAAGAGCUUGCUCUUACGGGUGGCGAGUGGCGGACGGGUGAGGAAUACAUCGGAAUCUACUUUUUCGUGGGGGAUAACGUAGGGAAACUUACGCUAAUACCGCAUACGACCUACGGGUGGAAGCAGGGGAUCUUCGGACCUUGCGCGAUUGAAUGAGCCGAUGUCGGAUUAGCUAGUUGGCGGGGUAAAGGCCCACCAAGGCGACGAUCCGUAGCUGGUCUGAGAGGAUGAUCAGCCACACUGGAACUGAGACACGGUCCAGACUCCUACGGGAGGCAGCAGUGGGGAAUAUUGGAUAAUGGGCGCAAGCCUGAUCCAGCCAUACCGCGUGGGUGAAGAAGGCCUUCGGGUUGUAAAGCCCUUUUGCUGGGAAAGAAAAGCAGCAGGUUAAUACCCCGCUGUUCUGACGGUACCCAAAGAAUAAGCACCGGCUAACUUCGUG